rnacentral:rRNA from 1 species
AUACGUAGGUGGCAAGCGUUAUCCGGAUUUACUGGGUGUAAAGGGCGUGUAGGCGGGACUGCAAGUCAGAUGUGAAAUUCCAGGGCUCAACCCUGGACCUGCAUUUGAAACUGUGGUUCUUGAGUGAUGGAGAGGCAGGCGGGAUUGCCUGUGUAGCGGUGAAAUGCGUAGAUAUAGGGAGGAACACCAGUGACGAAGGCGGCCUGCUGGACAUUAACUGACGCUGAGGCGCGAAAGCGUGGGGAGCAAACAGGAUUAGAUACCCUGGUAGUCCACGCUGUAAACGAUGGAUACUAGGUGUGGGGGGACUGACCCCUUCCGUGCCGCAGUUAACACAAUAAGUAUCCCACCUGGGGAGUACGAUCGCAAGGUUGA